rnacentral:rRNA from 1 species
UACGUAGGGUGCGAGCGUUGUCCGGAAUCACUGGGCGUAAAGGGCGCGUAGGCGGCCUGAUAAGUAGGGGGUGAAAUCCUGCGGCUUAACCGCAGGGCUGCCUUCUAAACUGUCGGGCUUGAGCACAGUAGAGGCAGGUGGAAUUCCCGGUGUAGCGGUGGAAUGCGUAGAGAUCGGGAAGAACAUCAGUGGCGAAGGCGGCCUGCUGGGCUGUUGCUGACGCUGAGGCGCGACAGCGUGGGGAGCAAACAGGG